GCAAGUCGAACGAGAAAGGGGAGCAAUCCCUGAGUAAAGUGGCGACCGGGUGAGUAACACGUGACUAACCUGCCUUCGAGUGGGGGAUAACCUCGGGAAACCGGGGCUAAUACCGCAUAAUGCCGAGAGGUUAAAGGAGCAAUUCGCUUGAAGAGGGGGUCGCGGCUGAUUAGCUAGUUGGCGGGGUAACGGCCCACCAAGGCGAUGAUCGGUAGCCGGCCUGAGAGGGCGCACGGCCACACUGGAACUGAAACACGGUCCAGACUCCUACGGGAGGCAGCAGUGGGGAAUUUUGCGCAAUGGGGGAAACCCUGACGCAGCAACGCCGCGUGGAGGAUGAAGUCCCUUGGGACGUAAACUCCUUUCGACCGGGACGAUUAUGACGGUACCGGUGGAAGAAGCCCCGGCUAACUUCGUGUCAGCAGCCGCGGUAAUACGAGGGGGGCGAGCGUUGUUCGGAAUUAUUGGGCGUAAAGGGCGCGUANGCGGUGCGGUAAGUCACCUGUGAAACCUCCGGGCUUAACUCGGAGCCUGCAGGCGAAACUGCCGUGCUGGAGUGUGGGAAAGGUGCGUGGAAUUCCCGGUGUAGCGGUGAAAUGCG
rnacentral:rRNA from 1 species